rnacentral:tRNA from 1 species
AAGGGAGAGCAGAACACAGCAAGCACUGCUAAUGCUUGUUACCAGGGUUAAACUCCGUGGCUCCCUCA